rnacentral:lncRNA from 1 species
AGGGCCCGUGCGAUGGGAAACGUGCCGUUGGCAGCCCGCCACCCCUCCAUCGUGACCUCAGUCUGCCAAACAGGGAAAUUACUCCAGGAUUUGAAUCAUCACAAGAGAUUCACCAGAGGAUUUUAUACACUUGGGCUGUGGCAGCAGACUAAUUACAUCACAGCACUAGGAUAUCACAUUGUAUUUGGUCAUCAUGACUCCUUAGUCUCCAAUCUGUGCCAGUUUUUUUGGUCUUGUCUUUCAUGGCCUUGGGGAUUUUUGAAGAAUAAUGGCCAGAGACGGGGUUUCACCGUGUUAGCUAGGAUGGUCUCGAUCUCCUGACCUCGUGAUCCACCCACCUCGGCCUCCCAAAGUGCUGGGAUUACAGAUGUGAGCCACCGCACCUGGCCUAGAGCUAGAACUUUCAACAUUUUAGGGCCUCAGCAGAAAGGAGACUGAACCAGUUCCAUGAAAACAUUCUCCUAUCUAAUAAAUCAAAAAAUCAUGACUGGCUUCCAUCAGUUCAGGAGUCUCCACACAAAUGUUUUGACAGUGGAACAAGAGACAGUCAAGGACAGUUUUAUCAGUGACAUCUACCUUCCAAUAGCAAAAACCAUCAACCGCACGAGCUGAGAUACUGGCUGGGUGGAUUUCAGCAAAUUUCCAAGGGCACAUGACAUGUGGGCACAAAAGCCGGGAUUUCACACCAGGGGAUAAAGUAUAUCAGAAAUGAAGGCUGGGGGCAGAAUAAUAGACAAUAUCUCCCCGGAUACUUUUUAUCAGCAAGACAGGAAUGUUCCCCAAAUGACACUGCUUAAGAGAACUUUGAGGAGAACUGAGGGCAAGAUACAAGCCAUGGUUCUAUACAGAUAAGUCUACGGAAGCUGCAGAAAUAACAUUCCAGAUCCCCAGGAAUCCACCCACCCACCCCUCCGACUUUGGCCGAACACCAUGGCUGGCUGCCGUGUGAAGAAUGGACUGUAGGGGGUGCCAGAGUGGCUGUGGGAAACAUCCCCUAGAAAUCUAGAAUUCAAAGCACUUACUUUGAGUGAUAUAUCCACAAGAAAGAGCCUUCUGUGCUAAAAGCAAAAAAGAAAUAAAAACAUAUCAUGUUACUUUUAA